rnacentral:tRNA from 1 species
AGUUUUAUAGUCAAAAAUGAUUUUAAAUUGCAAAUUUAAAGGUAGAACAAGUUUCUUAAGGCUU